AAAAUGCACUUUAUAAAUUAAUGCAACUAAAGCAAGUUACUUAAUUGAUCUCCAUCAGGAAUGUUUAAAGCAAACAAUUAUUUUCCUUGUGAUAGAGUAUUCAAAGCUUAGGAAAAAUAUUCAACAAAUAAUGCCGUAAAGAAAUGCCUUAUAUAAGAAAUAUGAAGACCGACCUCUAAGAAAAUGAUUUUGGACAAUUGAAAAUACUUUUAUUAAUUUCUGCCAAAUUGGUUUACUUUCUAUUUCUAAGUUGCAGUUUUGUAGCAGUACCUGCACAUGCCGUAUAUAUCCAGGUUGAAACGAGAUUCAAAAGCUUGUGUUUCUUAGCUAUUAUGAUUUCCUGAUAGCCGGUGGCUGCGUACAAGGAAGCCAUUAAAACGAAUGUUUCAGCGUAAAAAAGUUGAAGCAAACCUUUAAACGUUUUAGGGACGCAUUCAAGAGUUGUUUGAACAAUUGUUAUAAACCAUAGAUGACCAUUGACUAGUUUUACUUGUCAUUACCACAAUCUGUUUUCCGUUCGCUCGACUGUGACACCACUAAAAGAUUUAUUACCAAUUUAAUACAUAUCACGAAUAACAGGACUAGUACCACUAGCGAGAUAUCCUAACGAGGCACAUAAGAGAUAAGCCCCACUUUUUGAUUGUGUUCGUAUCGUCCACUUGUAGUUUUUCAAUGUAGUGUUGUGAGAUCUAUUUGACUUUCCGUCUGUUUUAGUUCUUUUCGCCAGUUGUUUUUCUUUGAUACUUUAUUUUAAAUGUCUCCUGAAUAUUAAUCUGUUAUUUUCGACACUAUUUUUUCUAUUGAUAAUUGACCUAUUGUAUAUAUAAAUUACAGACUAACAAAUGUCUAAACUUAUCGAUUCCUACCGACAGAUCUGUAGAGACAGAGUUAUCGGACUUAUCAUAAUCGAUAAAGCUGCGCAUGAAUCAACACAUCUGAAAGUCAUUUCUGAUAAAUAAAUAAACAAUUACUUUAGAUUCUUUGAGGCCCAGUCAGCGCUUGAAAUUAUAAGUACAACCUUGUAUAUUUUAGAUGAGAAUAUAUUGGUAUACAUAAGUAUAAUAAUAUUUUGUAAUUCAAUAAAGGGACUUUCCGAUUUAAAUUUUUAAUUGAGUUCAUUU
rnacentral:lncRNA from 1 species